GAUGAACGCUAGCGGCAGGCUUAAUACAUGCAAGUCGUGGGGCAGCAGGUCUGUAGCAACACAGAUGCUGGCGACCGGCAAACGGGUGCGUAACACGUACGCAACCUUCCCGUUACUGGGGAAUAGCCCAGGGAAACUUGGAUUAAUACCCCAUAUUAUAUUGGUUAGGCAUCUGACUGAUAUCAAAGCUUCGGCGGUAACGGAUGGGCGUGCGGUUGAUUAGGUAGUUGGCGGGGUAACGGCCCAACAAGCCUACGAUCAAUAGCUGAUGUGGGAGCAUGAUCAGCCACACGGGCACUGAGACACGGGCCCGACUCCGACGGGAGGCAGCAGUAAGGAAUAUUGGGCAAUGGACGAAAGUCUGACCCAGCCAUGCCGCGUGAAGGAUGAAGGUCCUCUGGAUUGUAAACUUCUUUUAUCUGGGGCGAAAAUCGGUUAUUCUUAGCCGCUUGACAGUACCAGAUGAAUAAGCACCGGCUAACUCCGUGCCAGCCGCCGCUGUAAUAC
rnacentral:rRNA from 1 species